rnacentral:rRNA from 1 species
ACGCUGGCGGCAUGCUUUACACAUGCAAGUCGGACGGCAGCACAGAGAAGCUUGCUUCUUGGGUGGCGAGUGCCGAACGGGUGAGUAAUAUAUCGGAACGUACCGAGUAAUGGGGGAUAACUAAUCGAAAGAUUAGCUAAUACCGCAUAUUCUCUGAGGAGGAAAGCAGGGGACCUUCGGGCCUUGCGUUAUUCGAGCGGCCGAUAUCUGAUUAGCUAGUUGGUGGGGUAAAGGCCUACCAAGGCGACGAUCAGUAGCGGGUCUGAGAGGAUGAUCCGCCACACUGGGACUGAGACACGGCCCAGACUCCUACGGGAGGCAGCAGUGGGGAAUUUUGGACAAUGGGCGCAAGCCUGAUCCAGCCAUGCCGCGUGUCUGAAGGAGGCCUUCGGGUUGUAAAGGACUUUUGUCAGGGAAGAAAAGGCUGUUGCUAAUAUCGACAGCUGAUGACGGUACCUGAAGAAUAAGCACCGGCUAACUACGUGCCAGCAGCCGCGGUAAUACGUAGGGUGCGAGCGUUAAUCGGAAUUACUGGGCGUAAAGCGAGCGCAGACGGUUACUUAAGCAGGAUGUGAAAUCCCCGGGCUCAACCUGGGAACUGCGUUCUGAACUGGGUGACUAGAGUGUGUCAGAGGGAGGUAGAAUUCCACGUGUAGCAGUGAAAUGCGUAGAGAUGUGGAGGAAUACCGAUGGCGAAGGCAGCCUCCUGGGAUAACACUGACGUUCAUGCUCGAAAGCGUGGGUAGCAAACAGGAUUAGAUACCCUGGUAGUCCACGCCCUAAACGAUGUCAAUUAGCUGUUGGGCAACUUGAUUGCUUAGUAGCGUAGCUAACGCGUGAAAUUGACCGCCUGGGGAGUACGGUCGCAAGAUUAAAACUCAAAGGAAUUGACGGGGACCCGCACAAGCG